UGCAAACACACACUGAAUGACUUUGUGU
rnacentral:piRNA from 1 species